CAAUAGCGUAUAUUAAUGUUGUUGCAGUUAAAAAGCUCGUAGUUGGAUUUCUGAUGGGAGCCCUGGUCACUCUAACGAGUGUACUGAUGUGGCGUCUCGUCGUUUCAUGGGGAUGCUUGCUGGUAUUAAGUUAUCGGCUUGUGGAUCCAUGUCGUUUACUGUGAAAAAAUUAGAGUGUUCAAAGCAGGCCAUCGCUGUGAAUACAUUAGCAUGGAAUAAUAAGAUAGGACUGUGGUGCUAUUUUGUUGGUUUGCGUACUACGGUAAUGAUUAAUAGGGAUAGUUGGGGGUAUUCAUAUUCAAUUGUCAGAGGUGAAAUUCUUGGAUUUAUGGAAGAUGAACUACUGCGAAAGCAUUUACCAAGGAUGUUUUCAUUA
rnacentral:rRNA from 1 species